ensembl:lncRNA LINC00880 long intergenic non-protein coding RNA 880
AUGUGAAGAACAGUGUUUCUCUCCUACAGAGGAUGCAGUGUCCAGGGCAUCAUCUAUGAAUGGAGACAACCUUUACCGGACACCAAACCUACCAGCACCAUGACCUUGAACUUUCCAGCCUUCUGAACUAUGGCGUACUGCUCUGUUGCCCAGGUUAGAGUGCAGUGGCUUGAUCAUAGCUCACUGCAGCCUUGAGCUCCUAGGCUCAAGCAGUCCUCUUGCCUCAGCCUCCUGAAUAGCUGGGACUACAGGUUCUAUUCUGAGGUACUAAGGUUAAGACCUCAACAUAUGAAUUCUGGAGGACAAAAUUCAACCCAGAAGUCUACCUUGUAUUGGGUCCUCACGGCAAGGCUGCAAAACCCGGGGGGUUGGUGGCCCAGUCCCACCUCCCAUGAGCUAAUGAAUGUGGGGCUCAGGGAGGACUGACAGGACUAGAGUUGACAACCAUUCAUCCAACAAACAUUUACUGCACGAGGAAGAGAGGUGAUCAAGGCACUGCCCUUGUCCCCAGGAAGCUCGCCAGUGCAUGGGACUGUGCAGGUGUCUUCACCUCUGCAUUAGGCAUUCGAUGUCAGGCCAUGGCUGAGCAUCCAUCCUCUCUAUGCUAAUUUUUUCCAAAAGUCAAGAGUUUGGAAGAACACUAAUGUGUUUUUCUUCCAGCCUUUCCUAUACAAAUGACAACAUCAUUACCCUCAGCUUUUAAAGUGCAAGUCUGUACAGAGAUCCCAGAGUCAAGGAGGGCGCCUGAGUCAUUUGAAAUAAUUACCUUUUUUUUUUCCUGCCUGAGUCUUGCAUAUCUGUGAAUCAGCAAUGUGGAAACUGGGCUUCAAAAAAAUUAAGGGAGGCUUAAAGUGAGCAAAGCAGAGAAGAGCAUUGGCAAGAGCUGAGCGCUGCCACAGCAGGAACAUCAUGCCGAUCGUCAUCUAAGGGAGCUCAUGGUGCUGUCUGCCUCCUCUUAGCAACAUCCACACAGGCUGGUACAGUCAGAUCAUUGUGACUUGGACAGGGAUGAAAAUACUCAGCUGACACCAAUAGCUCCCAGCACAGCCAGGGUAUUCUAGAGGUGUGUGGUGUCAGGACAGCCUGUGCGGCCUCAUUUAUUUACCUGAGUCAUCUGAACAAAGCGGUGACUGGCUUUGCCUGGCUCUGGCAAGGACUCGCAACAAAGCCAAAGCCUCUUCCUCCACGGCCUUUGCUCCUGCAGCACAGCACUGGCAUCUUUUUAGCAUCAUAGACACUGUCACGUGGCAAUCAAUGACAGAUGAACUGUCCCUUCCCUGGGCCACAAGCUCUUCAAGGCGGGAGCCUCAGCCCAGUUUCUUCCAUGUCUCCAGCGCCCAGCACAGGGCCUGGCUUCUAGCUGGUUUCUGAUGAAUAAACGAAUGGCUAUAGAGAUGUACUCUUCAAAACACAAGGGGCUUCUAUAGUGGCAACAUGUUCAGUAGCACAGUGCUGUAUUGGUUCUUUACAGCUUGCAGGACCCAAAGAAGGAAUGAUUUUUGUUUCCCGGGAAAGGUGUACCUCGUGGGGGCACUGCUCAAGGGAAGGUGCCCACAAGUUGGGGAUCAAGGGAGGCACAGGUUGAUCAAAGCCCCUGGAAUUGAAAUGGAGGUGUUCAUCCUGCGGAGGCUCCGAACAUCUGAGGCAGAGCCUCGAUUCUCCAGGAAAUUGACUUUGCCGGAGAACAAGGCUGGGGAAGGCAGGCUGUCCUAGGGGAGGAGUCGUAUUUCAGCCCCACUGAGACCCCAAAGGCGCACUCCCAUGCUUUACCCCAGCUGUCCACCAGGGGGCAGGCAGAGGCAAGAGAAGAGGAAAGCGGGCGGCUGGUCAGGCCCAGCACAUCCAGCCUGGCAUCCCACACGCUGGGCUGCCUGACUCAGACAAAGCCAGGCCGCUCCUCCUGCCUGUUGUGGCCUCUGUGAUUUUAUAUGGUUUGGCCUGUGACAUCAGACACCACGCGACCAUGGUAACCAAAGUAUACAGCCUGGAGUGAAUGUUAAUAAACAGGAAAGAAAUGA